CCUCGUCUUCGCCAUGCAGCUCGGGUUCGCCAUGCUCUGCGCGGGCUCCGUCCGCGCCAAGAACACCAUGAACAUCAUGCUCACCAACGUGCUCGACGCCGCCGCCGGCGCGCUCUUCUACUACCUCUUCGGCUUCGCCUUCGCGUACGGGACCCCCUCCAACGGCUUCAUCGGCAGGCACUUCUUCGGCCUCAAGCGGCUCCCCCAGGCCGGCUUCGACUACGACUUCUUCCUCUUCCAGUGGGCCUUCGCCAUCGCCGCGGCCGGGAUCACGUCGGGCUCCAUCGCCGAGCGGACGCAGUUCGUGGCGUACCUCAUCUACUCCGCCUUCCUCACCGGCUUCGUGUACCCGGUGGUCUCCCACUGGGUCUGGUCCGCCGACGGCUGGGCCUCGGCGUCCCGGACGUCGGGGAAGCUCCUCUUCGGCUCCGGCAUCAUCGACUUCGCCGGGUCCAGCGUCGUCCACAUGGUCGGCGGCAUCGCCGGCCUCUGGGGUGCGCUGAUCGAGGGCCCCCGCAUUGGCCGGUUCGACCACGCCGGCCGCUCGGUGGCGCUGCGCGGGCACAGCGCGUCGCUCGUCGUGCUCGGCACCUUCCUGCUGUGGUUCGGGUGGUUCGGCUUCAACCCGGGGUCCUUCCUCACCAUCCUCAAGAGCUACGGCCCCGCCGGGAGCAUCCACGGGCAGUGGUCCGCCGUGGGCCGCACCGCCGUGACCACCACCCUCGCCGGCAGCACGGCGGCGCUCACCACGCUCUUCGGGAAGCGCCUCCAGACGGGGCACUGGAACGUGCUCGACGUCUGCAACGGCCUGCUCGGCGGGUUCGCCGCCAUCACCGCCGGCUGCUCGGUGGUGGACCCCUGGGCGGCCGUCAUCUGCGGGUUCGUGUCGGCGUGGGUGCUCAUCGGGCUCAACGCGCUGGCAGCAAGGCUCCGGUUCGACGACCCGCUGGAGGCCGCGCAGCUCCACGGCGGGUGCGGCGCGUGGGGGGUCAUCUUCACGGGGCUCUUCGCGCGCCGGGAGUACGUGGAGCAGAUCUACGGCGGCGGCGCGCCGGGGCGGCCGUACGGGCUCUUCAUGGGCGGCGGCGGCCGGCUGCUGGCGGCGAACGUGGUGAUGGUCCUGGUGAUCGCGGCGUGGGUGAGCGUCACCAUGGCGCCGCUGUUCCUGGCGCUCAGCAAGAUGGGCCUCCUCCGCGUCUCCGCCGAGGACGAGAUGGCCGGCAUGGACCAGACGCGGCACGGCGGGUUCGCGUACGCGUACCACGACGACGAGGACCCCAGCGUCAGGCCCAAGGCGGUGAUGAGCACGCAGAUCGCCAACGCGUCCAGCGGCGAGUUCUAGCGACUCAGUGCCGCUAUA
rnacentral:lncRNA from 1 species